AGUGCAGCACCGAGCGCGGUCGUGGUUGUCACCACCGGGGCCAGCCCGACCCCUGCCCGGUGCGCUCAGCCCCGGGACCAGCGACCGCCGUCAGCGCUAAACAAAGUCAUCAUCGACCCCACCACCCAAAUCCGGCCUGUGCCGUGGUUUCAUUUUCUUGUUGUUUUUAUUAAUCUCCAAAGCUGCUAAUGAGCCAGCAAAAUCCGCGCAGUUUCCGCAACGAGCGCUUGCCCAAAACUUGAAACACUCUUUACAUUUCAAGUUCAUCUUCCGUUUCUUUCCGUAAAACCUGAACUUUAAUUCCUCGCGGCAAAGGAAAAACUGGAAUAAGUAUUACAAAAGUUUCCCUGCAAUUGAAAUUCUGACCCCUGCAAUGUUGUGCCACAGCAGUGCCCUUGCCCUGGUCAGAGCCUCCCCAAAGCUGAGGGAAGAAAACACUUUUUAUUCAGCAUUUUCAGAAACCUUGUACUUUGGGAGCAGAAAACCUCUGAAGUGACAGGAAUUGGUUAAUUCUUCCAGGCUCUUCAUUGCACAGCCUCAGCACUUCACGGAUUCUUCUUGCUGCCAAGCUGACCAGUACUUAAACUGAUACUUUUCCUGCUUAAGAAAAAACACAGCAGAUUUUUCUUCCAAAAUACAACCACGUCUAAGUUGACUCUUCCCCUUAAAGUAAAUAUGGACUGAAGGUGAACUUGGGAAGAUCAAGGGAACUGCACAAUCCUUUCAAAUGCUCUGCAAGGGACAAUGGAAGGUCAGAGUGCAGAAAGCAGAGACUCUUAUACCUCCCUGCAAGCAGAUUUUUCUCAGUUGUCCCAGCCCUAAGGUAUCAUGGAAUGUAUCACCCUCUUGCCCUCCCUUUCAGGGACAACUGAACCUUGGUUCGUAGAGAACCACCUAACACACCUCCAGGGAAUAGCGGCUGAGGACUGAGGAGUUCCGGAUCCUUAUCUGCACACAGCGAUGAUGUGGAAAAAGGAAAAGUGACAGAUGUUUUCAUGCUGGACUGGCUGGAAGGGCAGGGCAGGGAUGCCUUCUCCUUGCCGUGCUUUCACUUCCACUCCGCUGCUCCGUCCCACGUCACUCACAGCAGCCUUAGGACCAAAUUAAAGCUCCGGCGGUGUCAGUGUUCAGAAGACUCUCCCCUCAUCCCGCUGGAUGCAGCGGAUGGAGCUGCACGCUCCGCUCCCGGCUCCCCGCCCGCUGUCCCUGGUGCUGGAGCCGCUCCCUUCGCCGCCGCUCCCGCUCCCAGCGGGGACCCGCUGGAUCCCGGCGCUCCAAGCCCUCCCCGGGCAUGCAGUGCCCUUCAAGCCAACCUCCCGCAGCGGUUGUGGCAGAGGACGAGGAGCCCUCCCGUUCCCACACGUCGGCAUUCCCAGGGAGCGCCAGCUGGCCGUGCUGUCAGCCCCGGGCACAGGGACCAGCCUCAGGUCUGGCCCGGACCUCGGGACCUGUGCAGAGACCACGUUGUGAUCUGGAAAUAAAGCCAGCACUACCAAAAACAAUUGGAAAAACUGGAAUUUUGAAGUGCCGAGAUGGAUAAUUUGAAGUCGUGCUGGACCUAUCCAGGUUCAUCUCAUUUUUCCUUAUGGGAAUGCAAGAGCACACCGUUGAGCUGUGGCCAAACCUCCCCAGCUCAGCUACUGAGACCCACAACUACAGAAACAGUCAGUCAUGGCAGGGUGCUCAGUACCCAAGAAACACUGUUGAACAUUUCCUACUAUUGUACUGUCCAUAUUAAUUACAUAUUUCUAUUUAAAAUGUGGACAUCCUAUGUGUUCAUCUGUGAAAUUAUUUGGAUUAUUUUUAUCUAGAUAAAUUCAGUAUUGUGCAUGUGUAUAUUCAAAAUAAAUAAUGUAUAUGACA